CCCUUAGAUGUUCUGGGCCGCACGCGCGCUACACUGAUGCAUUCAACGAGUCUAAAACCUGCUCUGAUAGGGGUGGGUAAUCUUUUGAAUGUGCAUCGUGAUUGGGAUAGAUGAUUGCAAUUUUUCAUCUUCAACGAGGAAUGCCUAGUAAACGCAAGUCAUCAGCUUGCAUUGAUUACGUCCCUGCCCUUUGUACACACCGCCCGUCGCUCCCACCGAUUGAAUGAUCCGAUGAAUAUCAUGGAUUGAGGAUGCAAGUAGGUUCGCCUAUCUUCAUCUUCGAGAAGUGAAGUAAAUCUUAUCAUUUAGAGGAAGGAGAAGUCGUAACA
rnacentral:rRNA from 1 species